rnacentral:rRNA from 1 species
GCGAACGAGGGGAAUUGAAACAUCUUAGUACCCUCAGGAAAAGAAAUCAAUAGAGAUUGCGUCAGUAGCGGCGAGCGAAAGCGCAAGAGGGCAAACCCAGUGCUUGCACUGGGGGUUGUAGGACUGCAAUGUGCAAGAGGUGAGUUUAGCAGAACAUUCUGGAAAGUAUAGCCAUAGAGGGUGAUAGUCCCGUAUGCGAAAAACAAACCUUAGCUAGCAGUAUCCUGAGUAGGGCGGGACACGAGAAAUCCUGUCUGAAGCUGGGUCGACCACGAUCCAACCCUAAAUACUAAUACCAGAUCGAUAGUGCACAAGUACCGUGAGGGAAAGGUGAAAAGAACUGAGGUGAUCAGAGUGAAAUAGAACCUGAAACCAUUUGCUUACAAUCAUUCAGAGCCCUAUGUAGCAAUACAGGGUGAUGGACUGCCUUUUGCAUAAUGAGCCUGCGAGUUGUGGUGUCUGGCAAGGUUAAGCAAACGCGAAGCCGUAGCGAAAGCGAGUCUGAAUAGGGCGCUUAGUCAGAUGCUGCAGACCCGAAACGAAGUGAUCUAUCCAUGAGCAAGUUGAAGCUAGUGUAAGAACUAGUGGAGGACUGAACCCAUAGGCGUUGAAAAGCCCCGGGAUGACUUGUGGAUAGGGGUGAAAGGCCAAUCAAACUUCGUGAUAGCUGGUUCUCUCCGAAAUAUAUUUAGGUAUAGCGUUGUGUCGUAAUAUAAGGGGGUAGAGCACUGAAUGGGCUAGGGCAUACACCAAUGUACCAAACCCUAUCAAACUCCGAAUACCUUAUAUGUAAUCACAGCAGUCAGGCGGCGAGUGAUAAAAUCCGUCGUCAAGAGGGAAACAACCCAGACUACCAGCUAAGGUCCCUAAAUCUUACUUAAGUGGAAAACGAUGUGAAGUUACUUAAACAACCAGGAGGUUGGCUUAGAAGCAGCCAUCCUUUAAAGAAAGCGUAAUAGCUCACUGGUCUAGUGAUUUUGCGCGGAAAAUAUAACGGGGCUAAAGU